GACUCUGUGGCACAAAGGAUAGUGCAUUGGACUUCUAAUUCAAAGGUUGUGGGUUCGAGUCCCACCAGAGUCA
rnacentral:tRNA from 1 species